rnacentral:rRNA from 1 species
UAUCUCUGUAGAGUCUGCAUAUCAAUAAGCGGAGGAAAAGAAACUAACAAGGAUUCCCCUAGUAACGGCGAGUGAAGCGGGAAGAGCUCAAAUUUGAAAUCUUCAAGGUUCUACCUUGACGAAUUGUAGUUUAAAGAAGUGUUUUCGGUUAGAGGAGUAGUAAAAGUUCUUUGGAAUAGGACAUCAUAGAGGGUGAGAAUCCCGUAUUUGACUAUUCUUUCUAGCUUUGUGAUACACUUUCAAAGAGUCGGAUUGUUUGGGAAUGCAGUCCAAAAUGGGUGGUAAAUUUCAUCUAAAGCUAAAUAUUGGCGAGAGACCGAUAGCGAACAAGUACCGUGAGGGAAAGAUGAAAAGAACUUUGAAAAGAGAGUUAAACAGUACGUGAAAUUGUCAAAAGGGAAGCGUUUGACACCAGUGUUGUUUUUUCCGAAAAUCAAUUAAAAAUUGAUUCAUGCCAGGUUGUAUUGACCUUAUCAGCUUGCAAUUUGGUUUUGGGUCUCUUUUUGAUGCACUUUUCGGUUAACAAGUCAACAUCAAUUUCCUUUGCUGUAAAAAGGUAAGAGGAAGGUGGCUUCAAUUUCGGUUGAAGUGUUUAUAGCCUUUUAUCUCUGCAGUCGGGGAGAUUGAGGUCUGCAGCGUAGAUCCUUCGGGGCUAGAUACAUUUAUGCUAAGUUAUAGCUUUUCAUAGACAACUUGUUGACUAUGUUUAGUCAUGUAGCUUACUCGUAAGUGCUAUUUUACCUACGCUUAGGAUGUUGAGCGCAUGUCUCUCUCU